rnacentral:rRNA from 1 species
UACGGGAGGCAGCAGUGGGGAAUAUUGCACAAUGGGCGCAAGCCUGAUGCAGCCAUGCCGCGUGUAUGAAAAAGGCCUUCGGGUUGUAAAGUACUUUCAGUCGUGAGGAAGGUGUUAAGGUUAAUAACCUUAGCAAUUGACGUUAGCGACAGAAGAAGCACCGGCUAACUCCGUGCCAGCAGCCGCGGUAAUACGGAGGGUGCGAGCGUUAAUCGGAAUUACUGGGCGUAAAGGGCACGCAGGCGGUUAAUUAAGUUGGAUGUGAAAUCCCCGGGCUUAACCUGGGAAUGGCAUUCAAGACUGGUUAGCUAGAGUCUUGUAGAGGGGGUAGAAUUCCAUGUGUAGCGGUGAAAUGCGUAGAGAUGUGGAGGAUACCGGUGGCGAAAGCGGCCCCUGGACAAAGGACUGACGCUCAUGUGCGAAAGCGUGGGGAGCAAACAGGGAUUAGAUACC